UUGGCUCAGAACGAACGCGGCGGCGUGCCUAAUACAUGCAAGUCGAGCGAAAGGAUGGGAGCUUGCUCCCUGACUUUAGCGGCGGACGGGUGAGUAACACGUGGGCAACCUGCCUAUAAGACUGGGAUAACUUCGGGAAACCGGAGCUAAUACCGGAUACGUUCUUCCUUCGCAUGAAGGAAGAUGGAAAGACGGUUUCGGCUGUCACUUAUAGAUGGGCCCGCGGCGCAGUUAGCUAGUUGGUGAGGUAAUGGCUCACCAAGGCGACGAUGCGUAGCCGACCUGAGAGGGUGAUCG
rnacentral:rRNA from 1 species